GUAACAGUUCAGGAUUUCAGGCACUGCUGGUGGGAAAUAAUUGGCACAGCUGUCAUGAAGGAAGAAUUGGAAAUAACUGUUAAACAAUUUGCCCAGUCACUCCACUUCUAGAAAUAUAUUCUACACAAGUGCUUAUACAGAUAAAAUUGUUUCCCAACUGCUUCCUGUGGGAGUCUUGGAAGGAGUCCUUGGUUUGAGGUGGGGAAGAUGGAACCAGGAAGUGAGAUCGGGCAAUCACGGAAGGCCCCUCAGUCAGGUGAUGGAGCUCGACUCUGGGAGAAAACGAGGUGGAUUCUUUACCAGCUGAGCCACAAGGGUAGCCUACUCCAGCAGAUCCCUUCUCUAGCAAAUCUUCCCAACCUGGGAAUUGAACUGGUCUCUCCUGCAUUGCAGGCAGAUUCUUUACCAGCUGACCUACCAGGGAAGCCCUUGUAUGCUGCUGCUGCUGCUGCUAAGUCGCUUUAGUCGUGACUGACUCUGUGCGACCCCAUAGACAGCAGCCCACCAGGCUCCGCCAUCCCUGGGAUUCUCCAGGCAAGAGUACUGGAGUGGGGUGCCAUUGCCUUCUCCAAGCCCUUGUAUGAAUGACACCAAAAGAUUAGAAAUAAGUGCAAGUCGUGAAAAGUGAAAGUGUUAGUCGCUCAGUCAUGCCCAUGUCUUUGUGACCCCAUGGAUUGUAGCCCACCUAGCCCCUCUGUCCAUGGAAUUCUCCAGGCAAGAAUCCCGGAAUGGGUUGCCAUUCUCUUCUCCAGGGGAUCUUCCCAACCCAGGGAUCGAACCCGGGUCUCCUGAAUUGCAGGCAGAUUCUUUACCAUCUGAGCCACCAGGGAAGCUUUGGAAGGAGAGGAAAAAAGAAAUCAAGAGAAAGUGAAAGUUGGGGAGGCCCAAGAAAAGAUCUGGAGUGGGGAUUGGGGUGGGGCGGUCCCCACAGCUCAGGGGUGACAUAGAGUAGGUUGGGAACCAUGAUCACCUGGAAUUGAGGGUGUAACUCCACGGACGGACACUUUCAGCCUCCUGUCUUGGCUCUCCCUUGGCCUGACGUUCCCCCUGUCCUUGCAUGAGUGAGUCCCAACAUUUUGUCAAGAUUGAAUUCAGAUGCCUGCUUCUCCAGGAAGCCUACCCUCCUCCCAGCCCUGAGGCUUCUGGCCUGACCCUAAGGGCCUGUGCACCCAGCGUUAGUGAGCAUGUCAGGGCUGAUGGUGUUAGGGCCCAUGCCUACUGUGUCACCAGGCCCAGGCCCAGCUGGCUGGCGAAUGUGCUGAGAAUGUAAGUUGGGUGUGUGCCAGGCUGCCUGGGUUCAAACCUCAGUGCAGUGACUACUGAUGGUGUGUGGAUGACUGUUAUGAGCGGGUGAGUGCAGGCAGGAUGGGACAGCCUAGUGAGGCAAAGGGAUGAAGGGAUUGCACUGUCUCCAGGUGGCCUGGCUCCACAUGGGCAGAAAUGAGUGCAGCUUGAGCCACCUGUUUGACUGUCAGUUGCUUGAGCCAGGGAAUGCCUGGUUCCCAGUAACACCAUUUCAGCACUGGCCUGGGAACCUGUCAGCUUCUGCCACCACCCUCGCCCUCCCCUAGCAUCACUUCUCUGGGGAAAGUGGCCCAGGUCAGAUGAGGGUGAGACACCCCCAUCCCCCUCUGCUCUACAUGCUCGCAUCUUCCUUCCCAGGUUUGUUGGCCGCCUACCCCCCUGCACCCCUACUGCCAUUGUUCCAGGUUCCAGGUAGAGCCCUUUUGACUCCACCUUCCCUGGUGGCUCAGACGGUAAAGAAUCUGCCUGCAACACAGGAGACUGGUGUUCAAUCCCUGGGUUGGGAAGAUCCCCGGAAAAAG
ensembl:lncRNA